CUUCACCUACGGGGGGCAGCAGUGGGGAAUAUUGCACAAUGGGGGAAACCCUGAUGCGGCAACGCCGCGUGAGUGAAGAAGUAUUUCGGUAUGUAAAGCUCUAUCAGCAGGGAAGAAAAAAGACGGUACCUGACUAAGAAGCCCCGGCUAACUACGUGCCAGCAGCCGCGGUAAUACGUAGGGGGCAAGCGUUAUCCGGAUUUACUGGGUGUAAAGGGAGCGUAGACGGCAUAGCAAGUCUGAAGUGAAAGCCCGUGGCUCAACCGCGGAACUGCUUUGGAAACUGUU
rnacentral:rRNA from 1 species